AGAGUUUGAUUAUGGCUCAGGAUGAACGCCGGCGGCGUGCUUAACACAUGCAAGUCGAACGAGGUCCAACCUUCGGGUGAAGACCGAGUGGCGAACGGGUGAGUAACACGUGGGGAACCUGCCCUUCUCUCUGGGAUAACCUCGGGAAACCGAAGCUAAUACCGGAUACUCCUUGCGGACCGCAUGGUCUGCUCGGGAAAGCUCCGGCGGAGAAGGAUGGCCCCGCGGCCCAUUAGCUUGUUGGUGGGGUAACGGCCCACCAAGGCGACGAUGGGUAGCCGAGCUGAGAGGCUGAUCGGCCACACUGGGACUGAGACACGGCCCAGACUCCUACGGGAGGCAGCAGUGGGGAAUCUUGCGCAAUGGGCGAAAGCCUGACGCAGCAACGCCGCGUGCGGGAUGAAGGCUCUCGGGUCGUAAACCGCUUUCAGCAGGGAUGAAAAUGACAGUACCUGCAGAAGAAGCCCCGGCUAAAUACGUGCCAGCAGCCGCGGUAAUACGUAUGGGGCAAGCGUUAUCCGGAUUCAUUGGGCGUAAAGCGCGCGUAGGCGGCUUGUUAAGUCAGGCGUGAAAUCCGGGGGCUCAACCCGCGGCUUGCGUCUGAAACUGGCAGGCUUGAGUCUGGUAGAGGAAAGUGGAAUUCCUGGUGUAGCGGUGAAAUGCGCAGAUAUCAGGAGGAACACCAGUGGCGAAGGCGGCUUUCUGGGCCACGACUGACGCUGAGGCGCGAAAGCUAGGGGAGCGAACAGGAUUAGAUACCCUGGUAGUC
rnacentral:rRNA from 1 species